CUACGGCCGCUGCAGUGAGGAAUAUUGCACAAUGGGGGGAACCCUGAUGCAGCAACGCCGCGUGGAGGAUGACGCAUUUCGGUGUGUAAACUCCUUUUAUAUGUCAAGAAAAUGACGGUAGCAUAUGAAUAAGCACCGGCUAACUCCGUGCCAGCAGCCGCGGUAAUACGGAGGGUGCAAGCGUUACGCGGAAUCACUGGGCGUAAAGGACGCGUAGGCGGGUUGGAAAGUCAGGUGUGAAAUCCUACAGCUUUACUGUAGAACUGCACUUGAAACUUCUAAUCUAGAGUAUGGGAGGGGGAGAUGGAAUUAGUGGUGUAGGGGUAAAAUCCGUAGAUAUCACUAGGAAUACCUAAAGCGAAGGCGAUCUCCUGGAACAUUACUGACGCUAAGGCGUGAAAGCGUGGGGAGCAAACAGGAUUAGAUACCCUCGUAGUC
rnacentral:rRNA from 1 species